UACGUAGGUGGCAAGCGUUGUCCGGAUUUACUGGGCGUAAAGGGCGUGCAGGCGGUUUGUUAAGUCUAGGGUGAAAGCUCCCGGCUCAACUGGGAGAGGUCCUUGGAUACUGGCAGACUUGAGGAGGGUAGAGGAGAGUGGAAUUCCCGGUGUAGUGGUGAUAUGCGUAGAUAUCGGGAGGAACACCAGUGGCGAAGGCGACUACCUGGCCCGGUACUGACGCUGAGGUGCGAAAGCGUGGGGAGCAAACAGG
rnacentral:rRNA from 1 species